GGGAGAGGCCCUGACUACCAGCCAGGAUCAACCCUAAGGAAAUUUAGAUCUUUGAGUUUCCCCAACCCACCCUUCAUUUCCUGAUGCUUUUCUUUGGUUCUGCGCAUGCUCAAAGGCUUUCCAUGAAGACCGAAAGUCCUGACGCUGUGGACUUGGGCUCUGUUUCUCCAGCAUCCUCAGCCCCUCGGCGGAAGCCCCCUACUCCAUUCUGUUACAUGUCCAUGCUUUAUGUCCAGCCAGACCCUGGCCUUCCUCCAACCACGUGGCUCCAAGUCUGGCACCCCACAGGAAUGACUAGCCCUAGCUGAAGGCACACCAAACCUACCCCAGCCUCUGCUGGUCACAGCUGCUCCCACAACUGGGCCAAAGGUGGCAGGGUUGUGACCUGCUCCUGUAACUCCCUGUUCCACCCUCUUUUUCUGUCCUGGGUCUCUGGUCACUCAUAUCCCUGUCCUAGGGGCCAGGCCCUGGGAGGGGAGACAUUGCGUGGUUAUGCUCCUCAAGGC
ensembl:lncRNA